UACGAAGGGGGCUAGCGUUGCUCGGAAUCACUGGGCGUAAAGGGUGCGUAGGCGGGUCUUUUAAGUCAGGGGUGAAAUCCUGGAGCUCAACUCCAGAACUGCCUUUGAUACUGAGGAUCUUGAGUUCGGGAGAGGUGAGUGGAACUGCGAAGUGUAGAGGUGAAAUUCGUAGAUAUUCGCAAGAACACCAGUGGCGAAGGCGGCUCACUGGCCCGAUACUGACGCUGAGGCACGAAAAGCGUGGGGGAGCAAACAGG
rnacentral:rRNA from 1 species